rnacentral:rRNA from 1 species
UGGGGAAUAUUGCACAAUGGGCGAAAGCCUGAUGCAGCAACGCCGCGUGAAGGAAGAAGGGUUUCGGCUCGUAAACUUCUAUCAACAGGGACGAAGGAAGUGACGGUACCUGAAUAAGGAGCCCCGGCUAACUACGUGCCAGCAGCCGCGGUAAUACGUAGGGGCAAGCGUUAUCCGGAAUUACUGGGUGUAAAGGGUGAGUAGGCGGCAUGGUAAGCCAGAUGUGAAAGCCUUGGGCUUAACCCGAGGAUUGCAUUUGGAACUAUCAAGCUAGAGUACAGGAGAGGAAAGCGGAAUUCCUAGUGUAGCGGUGAAAUGCGUAGAUAUUAGGAAGAACACCAGUGGCGAAGGCGGCUUUCUGGACUGAAACUGACGCUGAGGCACGAAAGCGUGGGGAGCGAACAGGAUUAGAUACCC